ensembl:lncRNA
CAACCCCUCACGGGGCCCCUGGGCAGCCCCGGCGGCUUCGUCCGUUCCAGUGCUAACCGCUGUCCCGAGGUCCUCGCGGAUGCCCACGAGGGAAGGAGGGGGAGCUGGAGGUGCUGCAGCGCUUCUGUCGAGGCUGCUCUCCCGGUUAGAGGUGGACUCGCUCAUAACAAAAAAAAAAGCACUGCUUCACUGAGAAGUUGACGGGCUUAAAAGCAAUGCAAUACACGGCCUUCCUAUAACCUUUUGCUGCACCGAUCACCGUUAAGAAAUGAUGAGCGUUGAGAGGAAAAACGGGGCCUUGGCUCUCUUUGCAUCACCUCAGGAGUGAAAGCCUUCAGAAAACCACCAGGUUUUGCAAGAGCUGCCAUGAAGUGCAAGCACAGCUGCCAUGGAGACCGGGCCUGGCGUCGCCCGCUUUCCCACUUACACCCCCGCCAGCAAGGCUCCAGCCCAGUGAGUUAUUGCAGUAAUUAAUAGCCAGCACUUCCACGUAGUCAGAACGCUUUACAAACAACACCUAACCUCACUGAAUCACAAAUGGCCGUGUUGUCAUCCUGUCGUGGGAUCAGUACCGUUACUGCUUCCUUCAAUAUCCCUGCUGGCAUAGUGGGCAACCCAGAGCUGCCACCAGAUAGCACCUGGUAGAGAGCACAUGCACCAGGGUACUAAGCAUAUCUGAGCAGUCCAGAUGAAAUGAAGACUGCCUACAAGGAGAACAGUCUCUCCUCCUGUGUGCUGGUCUUGUACCAGGAUAAAUAACAGGAAAACAAAGCGCCAAAUGCCAGCCUUCCACAGGUUGGUCUACCGGUGAGUGGAAAGAAUGUGAAUGGAAAGAAUGCUUCACCAGCUUUGGAACUGCUAGAUUUGGAACCUCAAUGACGUUCAACACAGAAAUAAAGGAAGAUUCGAGAAAGAUAAGAAUGUAUUUUUUAACAAAGAAAGCAUAGACAACUCAGAAACGGCAAGCAAAGGUCAAUUUUCAGUAAGUGAUUCUUCUCUAAAACAGGAGAUAGACUAACUUGUCUGAUAGAAUAAGCCUCCCAGUACUCUGUACCCAAGUGGCAGAUACAGGGGGCUGGCAACACAAAUUUUGAAAGACACCAUUCAGAUCUUCAUCAAAUCCUUCAAAGAAACUUCAUAGCGGGUUGUGAGGAAAGAAGAACAACAAAGCAUGGGCCAAAAACUAAAAGAGAUGAAACAGGAGAACAAAUGGUCAUUUAAAAUGACGGUGAAAAGCCAGAACAGUGGAGUGUAUGUAAGAUCUUGUGACAGAACAUGUGUUGUAACCACCCUUACAAACAGUCUAGAAAAGGGCUGUACAGAAGAAAAAAACACUUGUAGAGGACACGAGAGCGUGGGAUGGAUGGAGGAGAUAUUCAGGGUGACCCAACAGUGCAGAACAUGAAGCAAUAUGACAAACUCAAGCAUGAAAUAUAAAACGGCUGAAGCAUAUCAGAGCAUGGGAAAAUAACUCCUGAUGAAGUUCUGGAUUGCAUUGUUACAGGUAGAAAAAGAAAUUCAUAGCCCAUCACCUUCCAACGAUGACCAAACCCACAGUUCAUAUUUCUCUUAAGUUCCACCAGGUUGAUUAAGCCCUGGAUAAAACAGAUGCUGGAGUGACCUUUCCCUUGAGAAGGGCAGCCAGCUUGCCAUGAACUGCACCGGAGCCAGCUGUAAGUAGGGCAGAUGUAACACCGUUGGACUCCUCCACGUUCACAAUCAGCUGAUGUGAGACCUCCAAGCUGCCAUUUGGAUGAGUCCACCAGAGCUGCCCUCACCACCAAGCACAUCCUGCCUGUGACCACAGUCAUCUGCAACCAUCUUACUGGAUGGAAGGCAGCUUACUCCAGCAUCACAGUUGUCAAGUCAGCAGUUGGGGCAGAUGGACUUUCCUUUUUCAGCUCCGUAUUUUGCCAAAGCCACGAUCCGGAAUCUGCCCACAGGGAAUGGAUUUCUUUCAAGAAAAGAAAAAAGCCCACAAAAAGCCAACCGUGCUAUUGAGGGAGUAGCAAUUUCUCUGCCCUUCAAUCAACCCCGAAAGAGAUGCUGCAUGCUUUAUCAGAUUUCCUAGCUUUAUUGGUUGCUGUCGCAAUGACUUUCUAAACACAGUCC